rnacentral:rRNA from 1 species
UAAGCAUAUCACUAAGCGGAGGAAAAGAAACUAACUAGGAUUCCCCCAGUAACUGCGAGUGAAGAGGGAAGAGCUCAUCAUUGGAAUCUGGCAGCGUUGCGCUGUCCGAGUUGUAGAUGAGAAGAGUAGGUCAUCUGGACUGCGUGGUGUCCAAGUACAAUAGGCCGUCAGUGGGACAUCAUAGAGGGUGACAAUCCCGUCCUUGACAACCAACGUACGAGUCCAUUACGAUGCCUAUCUCAGAGAGUCGAGCAGUUUGGGAUUUGCUGCUUAAACAUGGGAGGUAGAUUCCUUCUAAAGCUAAAUACAGGCAAGAGACCGAUAGAGAACAAGUACCGCAAGGGAAAGAUGAAAUAGAACUCUGUGAAGGGAGUCAAAAAGACGUGAAAUUGUUGCGAGAGAAGCGAUUCAAGUCAGCGUAGCUAGGCCCAUCAAGCUUCUUGCUUUGGACUAGCUUUGCCAGCGGUCUUGUCCUUUUAGAGACUUGACUUUUGACGUGCCCUGUCCGGUCUAACGGGCAGGCCCUUCGGGGCCAGUGGCAUGGCUGGUGGAAUGGCUUGCAAUCGACCCGUCUUGAAACACGGACCAAGGAGUCUAACAUGUGUGCGAGUAUAAGGGUGGCAAACCCGUAUGCGCAAAGAAAGUGAUAGCCUUUUAUGGCUGAGAAUGGCCUGAUGACCAGACAAGCAAUAUUAUGUUCCUCGUACGGUCAUUGCCCAAGUCCCGUGGUCAGAUCCCAUGGACAUGGAGUUAGAGCAUACAUGCUAGGACCCGAAAGAUGGUGAACUAUGCCUGGACAAAGCGAAGCCAAAGGAAACUCUGGUGGAGGCUUGUAGCGAUUCUGACGUGCAAAUCGAUCGUCUGAUCUGGGUAUAGGGGCGAAAGACUAAUCGAACCAU